UACGGAGGGUGCAAGCGUUAUCCGGAUUCACUGGGUUUAAAGGGUGCGUAGGUGGGCAGGUAAGUCAGUGGUGAAAUCUCCGGGCUUAACCCGGAAACUGCCAUUGAUACUAUCAGUCUUGAAUACCGUGGAGGUAAGCGGAAUAUGUCAUGUAGCGGUGAAAUGCUUAGAUAUGACGUAGAACACCAAUUGCGAAGGCAGCUUAUUACCCGAAUAUUGACACUGAGGCACGAAAGCGUGGGGAUCAAACAGG
rnacentral:rRNA from 1 species